rnacentral:lncRNA from 1 species
UACUGCAUCUCCCUAUCAGAUAAUCAGAAUUCAGACCCACGCCCACGCCCACCACAUCCACAACCACUUCUUUGUUUCUCUCUUUUUCCUUUCGCCAACGACGGGUUUCCCUUUCCCCAUCUUCCGACCAGGUACACGGGUAAAACCUCCUCUGUGUUUAUCCUUCCUUCUUCCGUCAAUGACGGCGGCCGGCGUCCUUUCUCCAUUUUCAAUUUCCAUUUCUUAUAUUUUGUGUUCGCAACCCGACGAUUUGUCGUUAGUUUCCUGAUUUUCACUUCCAAUUGCCAAUCAGGUGAUUAUAUAAACUCAGAGGAACAGAUUUUGGCUGGCUGGUUGGGAAUUGGGAGACACACUCUGGAUUUCUUUUGUUAGAUCUAGGUUGUUUGUGGGUUUUCCCUUUAGUUCUGAGGUACUUUACUUCCUUUUCCCUUUCUCGCUUUUGCUUUCGAUUCAAUUGCAGUUCUUGAUGUUGCUAAAUGAAAAAUGAUAAUCCAAUCUCCAUUUCCUUAUGUCACAUGCAACUCAAAUGCUCAUGUUCAUGCUGAUUAGUGGGUUUCACACUUGACCACAUUACCCUUAAUUGGGUUGGACAAGUAGCUGAUGUUCUUUAGCUUAGGUCUAAAGUGUGGGAGAAAUUGUUUGAGAUUCGCGAUGGAGAGGAAUUUCGAUUAUAAUUGCUAGUUUUUUUGACAACGGAGACAGUUUUGGCUUCUUGGUCAUGGGAUUAGCAGUUUCAGAGAGUCUUUUUGGUGUAGCAAGUAUGUUGCAUUCUUACUCAGUUGCUACUGUUGAUUUGCAGGAGACUUAUGUAGAAGUUGCAAAUUCUUGCUCAAUUGAGCAAUUGUCUUUUCUUCUCUGGUGAUUCAGUACAUGUGUGUAAGCAGGAUUAUAACUCUCCUAUAUUGCUCAACUGGAUAUACAAGUAGUCAGUUCUCUUUGUCUAUGUUUUGAGAGAAAUUGUUGUAUCAUAUGGUAGGAAAUAAGAUGGUAAAAUUCCCAACUGAAGAUAACAAACCUGGCUCCAUGAAUCUCAUAAUUUUAAUAGAUGCUUAAAACAUUUAGUUAGUGGAGCGGGUAUGGGUUUGUUUAAUUAGUUGAAUUUGUAUAAUCAUUGUCAACUACACCCAUAAUUGGGUUUGUGUUCUGUGAUAGCUUCGGGUAUGUUUAUUUUAUGUUUCUAACUGAUUUCUUUCAUGUUUCAUACACUCCUUAGCAAAUGUCAACUAUUAUAGAGUGAGGAGAAAUUAGAGGCUUUCAAGUAUCUUAUCCUUGCUGCACAGUUGCUGCCCUUAAUUCUUUGGUUUUUUUGUUUUGUUUAAUUCACUGUGUUUGUGAAAAUGCUGAGUAAUUGGAAGUUCAACACUGGAGUCUGUGUCUUAUUAAUAGCAUUGAUUACGUUGGACCAGGUUUCAUGUUAGGUUCUCUUAAAUUAUUGAUUUAGCUGAAUCUGUAUUGUCUUACAAGAUGGUAGAAAGUUGGCAGACUAAGUUUAGCAUAAAGUUAUGAUGUUCCCCUAUUUUGCUUCUAACUCAUGUCACUGUAAGUCGCUUUCCUUUGAAUUAAUUAAUGUGUCCUUCAUGAGCUAAUAUAUGUUAAAAACGUUGAUUUGGGCUCUUUAACGAUGAUCCUUUAGUUUCUCCUUUAGUUUCUUAUCUAGGAAAUUUUGUAGCUGGAAUAACCAUUGAUAUUCAUGAUAAUUGAACUUCAAGCAUCUGUAAAUUUUAUAUAGACUUUAAAUCCACAUAGGCUCUUGGUACUCGGAUACCUAGAGAAAAGUCAAUCUGAGCAGAAACCUCCAUCUUCAUGUCUCUUUAGUCUUUUCAUCAAUCUAAGAGAAAUUGUUCAUUGUAUAGAAUGUUAACAAUUGAAUAUUGAUUUUCAUUGGAUUCAUAUUCGUUGCCCGUAGGCCUUGGUUAUUAACAUACAAUUCAUAAUGGAAUUCAGAGGAAAAUGAAGACAUGACCAAUGAUGCAUAAAAAAAUUCAAGAUAAGAGAGCAAGGGUCGUAGAAUUAUCCGAGCUACACGAAUGGACCCACAAUCUCCACAACACAACACAACAAAAACCACCACUACCACCAUUCUUAUAUGUUUUUNNNNNNNNNNNNNNNNNNNNNNNNNNUUUUCGUUCAGAUAUUUACAUCAGACUACAAAUGUCCACCAUAAAUAAAGUGAAGUAGCAAAGACAUUGGAUUGCUAGGAUAUUAGACUUUGCUGUUUAUUUUACAGAAAGAUAAAGAUGUGUUCUAUUUAUUAAAUUAAUAUUCGAAGAAUUGAGGAAGUUAUUUACUUUAAAACUCCAUUGAAACCAC